rnacentral:rRNA from 1 species
UACGGAGGGUCCGAGCGUUAUCCGGAAUUAUUGGGUUUAAAGGGUCCGUAGGCGGGCCAUUAAGUCAGGGGUGAAAGUCUGCAGCUCAACUGUAGAAUUGCCUUUGAUACUGGUGGUCUUGAGUUAUGGUGAAGUGGCUGGAAUAUGUAGUGUAGCGGUGAAAUGCAUAGAUAUUACAUAGAAUACCGAUUGCGAAGGCA